rnacentral:rRNA from 1 species
UGAGUAACACGUAUCCAACCUGCCGUCUACUCUUGGACAGCCUUCUGAAAGGAAGAUUAAUACAAGAUGGCAUCAUGAGUCCGCAUGUUCACAUGAUUAAAGGUAUUCCGGUAGACGAUGGGGAUGCGUUCCAUUAGAUAGUAGGCGGGGUAACGGCCCACCUAGUCUUCGAUGGAUAGGGGUUCUGAGAGGAAGGUCCCCCACAUUGGAACUGAGACACGGUCCAAACUCCUACGGGAGGCAGCAGUGAGGAAUAUUGGUCAAUGGGCGAGAGCCUGAACCAGCCAAGUAGCGUGAAGGAUGACUGCCCUAUGGGUUGUAAACUUCUUUUAUAAAGGAAUAAAGU